GACGAACGCUGGCGGCGUGCUUAACACAUGCAAGUCGAACGGAAAGGCCCUGCUUUUGUGGGGUGCUCGAGUGGCGAACGGGUGAGUAACACGUGAGUAACCUGCCCUUGACUUUGGGAUAACUUCAGGAAACUGGGGCUAAUACCGGAUAGGAGCUCCUGCUGCAUGGUGGGGGUUGGAAAGUUUCGGCGGUUGGGGAUGGACUCGCGGCUUAUCAGCUUGUUGGUGGGGUAGUGGCUUACCAAGGCUUUGACGGGUAGCCGGCCUGAGAGGGUGACCGGCCUCAAUGGGACUGAGAUACGGCCCAGACUCCUACGGUAGGCAGCAGUGGGGAGUAUUGCACAAUGGGCGGAAGCCUGAUGCAGCAACGCCGCGUGCGGGAUGACGGCCUUCGGGUUGUAAACCGCUUUCGCCUGAGACGAAGCGUGAGUGACGGUAAUGGGUAAAGAAGCACCGGCUAACUACGUG
rnacentral:rRNA from 1 species